rnacentral:rRNA from 1 species
GGCGUGUUUAAGACAUGCAAGUCGCACGGAGGAAUGUGAGUAGCAAUACAAGCAUUCUUCAGUGGCGCACGGGUGCGUAACACGUGAGUUACAUGCCCUGCAGAGGGGGAUAGCCCAGGGAAACUUGGAUUAAUACCCCAUGGUCUCGCAAGAGUAAAGGUGGCGCAAGCUGCCGCUGCAGGAUUGGCUCGCGGCCUAUCAGCUAGUUGGUGAGGUAACGGCUCACCAAGGCUACGACGGGUACCUGGUCUGAGAGGACGAUCAGGCACACUGGAACUGAGACAUGGUCCAGACACCUACGGGUGGCAGCAGUCGAGAAUCAUUCACAAUGGGGGCAACCCUGAUGGUGCAACGCCGCGUGGAGGAUGAAGGUCUUCGGAUUGUAAACUCCUGUCAUCUAGGAGCAAGGCAUGGUGGUGAAUAGCCAACAUGAUUGAUAGUACUAGAAGAGGAAGGGACGGCUAACUUCGUGCCAGCAGCCGCGGUAAUACGAAGGUCCCGAGCGUUAUUCGGAAUCACUGGGCGUAAAGGGAGCGUAGGCGGCGUGGAAAGUCAGAUGUGAAAUCCCGGGGCUCAACCCCGGAACUGCAUCCGAUACUACCAUGCUGGAGUAU